AUUGAACGCUGGCGGCAGGCCUAACACAUGCAAGUCGAGCGAGCGGCGGACGGGUGAGUAAUGUAUGGGGCUCUGCCCGAUAGAGGGGGAUAACUACUGGAAACGGUGGCUAAUACCGAAUACUAUCGGCUGAACCCAUAUGGGAUUAGGUAGUAGGUGGGGUAAAGGCUCACCAAGCCGACGAUCGCUAGCUGGACUGAGAGGAUGACCGGCCACACUGGUGCUGAGACACGGCCCAGACGCCUACGAGAGGCAGCAGUGGGGAAUAUUGCGCAAUGGGGGCAACCCUGACGCAGCCGUGCCGCGUGAAUGAAGAAGGCCUUCGGGUUGUAAAGUUCUUUCGGUAGCGAGGCGUUAACUACAGAAGAAGCACCGGCUAACUCCGUGCCAGCAGCCGCGGUAAUAC
rnacentral:rRNA from 1 species